AUUUCUUUGAGUUUGAACACUAAUCUAUUGUGUGGAACUGUAUCAAACGCCUUGCAAAAUCCAAAUAGAUCACAUUCACUGCAACACCCUGAUCUAUACUUCUACUUACUAUACUUCUAGGUAAAUUGUGAUUCUCUAUAAUUUAAGAUUAAGUUGUAUUUGUCAUGAUAGGUACCUUUAAUAUGAAUUUUGUCGAUAGGGGAAUUCAAUAAAGUGUGAAAUUAAAGUGAAUUUCAAAUAAGCGAAUACAUAG